UACGAAGGGGGCUAGCGUUGUUCGGAAUCAUCGUGGGCGUAAAGGGCGCGUAGGCGGCUGAUUCAAGUCGGGGGUGAAAUCCCGUGGCUCAACCACGGAAUGGCCUUCGAUACUGGACGGCUAGAGACCGGAAGAGGGUGAGUGGAACUGCGAGUGUAGAGGUGAAAAUUCGUAGAUAUUCGCAAGAACACCAGUCGGCGAAGGCGGACUCACUGGUCCGGUUCGUGACGCUGAGGCGCGAAAAGCGUGGGGAGCAAACAGG
rnacentral:rRNA from 1 species